rnacentral:rRNA from 2 species
GCAGUCGAACGAACUCUGGUAUUGAUUGGUGCUUGCAUCAUGAUUUACAUUUGAGUGAGUGGCGAACUGGUGAGUAACACGUGGGAAACCUGCCCAGAAGCGGGGGAUAACACCUGGAAACAGAUGCUAAUACCGCAUAACAACUUGGACCGCAUGGUCCGAGCUUGAAAGAUGGCUUCGGCUAUCACUUUUGGAUGGUCCCGCGGCGUAUUAGCUAGAUGGUGGGGUAACGGCUCACCAUGGCAAUGAUACGUAGCCGACCUGAGAGGGUAAUCGGCCACAUUGGGACUGAGACACGGCCCAAACUCCUACGGGAGGCAGCAGUAGGGAAUCUUCCACAAUGGACGAAAGUCUGAUGGAGCAACGCCGCGUGAGUGAAGAAGGGUUUCGGCUCGUAAAACUCUGUUGUUAAAGAAGAACAUAUCUGAGAGUAACUGUUCAGGUAUUGACGGUAUUUAACCAGAAAGCCACGGCUAACUACGUGCCAGCAGCCGCGGUAAUACGUAGGUGGCAAGCGUUGUCCGGAUUUAUUGGGCGUAAAGCGAGCGCAGGCGGUUUUUUAAGUCUGAUGUGAAAGCCUUCGGCUCAACCGAAGAAGUGCAUCGGAAACUGGGAAACUUGAGUGCAGAAGAGGACAGUGGAACUCCAUGUGUAGCGGUGAAAUGCGUAGAUAUAUGGAAGAACACCAGUGGCGAAGGCGGCUGUCUGGUCUGUAACUGACGCUGAGGCUCGAAAGUAUGGGUAGCAAACAGGAUUAGAUACCCUGGUAGUCCAUACCGUAAACGAUGAAUGCUAAGUGUUGGAGGGUUUCCGCCCUUCAGUGCUGCAGCUAACGCAUUAAGCAUUCCGCCUGGGGAGUACGGCCGCAAGGCUGAAACUCAAAGGAAUUGACGGGGGCCCGCACAAGCGGUGGAGCAUGUGGUUUAAUUCGAAGCUACGCGAAGAACCUUACCAGGUCUUGACAUACUAUGCAAAUCUAAGAGAUUAGACGUUCCCUUCGGGGACAUGGAUACAGGUGGUGCAUGGUUGUCGUCAGCUCGUGUCGUGAGAUGUUGGGUUAAGUCCCGCAACGAGCGCAACCCUUAUUAUCAGUUGCCAGCAUUAAGUUGGGCACUCUGGUGAGACUGCCGGUGACAAACCGGAGGAAGGUGGGGAUGACGUCAAAUCAUCAUGCCCCUUAUGACCUGGGCUACACACGUGCUACAAUGGAUGGUACAACGAGUUGCGAACUCGCGAGAGUAAGCUAAUCUCUUAAAGCCAUUCUCAGUUCGGAUUGUAGGCUGCAACUCGCCUACAUGAAGUCGGAAUCGCUAGUAAUCGCGGAUCAGCAUGCCGCGGUGAAUACGUUCCCGGGCCUUGUACACACCGCCCGUCACACCAUGAGAGUUUGUAACACCCAAAGUCGGUGGGGUAACCUUUUAG